GAUGAACGCUGGCGGCGUGCUUAACACAUGCAAGUCGAACGAAGCAUUUAAGACAGAUUACCUCGGUUUGAAGUCUUUUAUGACUGAGUGGCGGACGGGUGAGUAACGCGUGGGUAACCUGCCUCAUACAGGGGGAUAGCAGCUGGAAACGGCUGGUAAUACCGCAUAAGCGCACAGUACCACAUGGUACAGUGUGAAAAACUCCGGUGGUAUGAGAUGGACCCGCGUCUGAUUAGCUUGUUGGCGGGGUAACGGCCCACCAAGGCGACGAUCAGUAGCCGACCUGAGAGGGUGACCGGCCACAUUGGGACUGAGACACGGCCCAGACUCCUACGGGAGGCAGCAGUGGGGAAUAUUGCACAAUGGAGGAAACUCUGAUGCAGCGACGCCGCGUGAGUGAAGAAGUAGUUCGCUAUGUAAAGCUCUAUCAGCAGGGAAGAUAGUGACGGUACCUGACUAAGAAGCUCCGGCUAAAUACGUG
rnacentral:rRNA from 1 species